UGGAGCUUCGUGUGGAUGAUCUACGAAGGUCAGACAUACUAUGUGGCUGUAUUACGAUGAUCAAACCUUCCCAACAGUGAUCAGACUGCGGUGAUCAACUACCCGCACAAUGGUAAUGUGUUCUGAACACAUAAUAGUAAAAGGUUUACUAUAGAAUUCGAAAUUUCAAAUUUAAAUGCAUGCUAUAUAUAUCAUAUUUAGAUCCUUGUAUUGGGUUAAUAUAUGUUAAUUAAUUAGA
rnacentral:lncRNA from 1 species